rnacentral:tRNA from 1 species
GGCUAUAUAGUUUAAAUGAGAGAAUAGGGUUUUGAAGCAACUUAGGUAAGAUUUUUAUAGCCA